rnacentral:rRNA from 1 species
CGAGCCUCACGAACGUUAUUCGGAAUUACUGGGCUUAAAGGGUGCGUAGGCGGCGCGGAAAGUUGGGUGUGAAAUCCCUCGGCUCAACCGAGGAACUGCGCCCAAAACUACCGUGCUCGAGGAAGAUAGAGGUGAGCGGAACUUACGGUGGAGCGGUGAAAUGCGUUGAUAUCGUAAGGAACACCCGUGGCGAAAAGCGGCUCACUGGGUCUUUUCUGACGCUGAUGCACGAAAGCUAGGGGAGCAAACGGGAUUAGAUACCCCGGUAGUCCUAGCCGUAAACUCUGAGUACUGAAUUGGAGGGCCCUCCAUAGCCCUCCAGUUGAAGCGAAAGUGUUAAGUACUCCGCCUGGGGAGUAUGGUCGCAAGGCUG